rnacentral:rRNA from 1 species
UCUUGACAUCCACAGAACUUGGCAGAGAUGCCUUGGUGCCUUCGGGAACUGUGAGACAGGUGCUGCAUGGCUGUCGUCAGCUCGUGUUGUGAAAUGUUGGGUUAAGUCCCGCAACGAGCGCAACCCUUAUCCUUUGUUGCCAGCGGUUCGGCCGGGAACUCAAAGGAGACUGCCAGUGAUAAACUGGAGGAAGGUGGGGAUGACGUCAAGUCAUCAUGGCCCUUACGACCAGGGCUACACACGUGCUACAAUGGCAUAUACAAAGAGAAGCGACCUCGCGAGAGCAAGCGGACCUCAUAAAGUAUGUCGUAGUCCGGAUUGGAGUCUGCAACUCGACUCCAUGAAGUCGGAAUCGCUAGUAAUCGUGGAUCAGAAUGCCACGGUGAAUACGUUCCCGGGCCUUGUACACACCGCCCGUCACACCAUGGGAGUGGGUUGCAAAAGAAGUAGGUAG